GUUUAAGGAGGCCCCGCCCCCUCCUGCAGCCCCAGAACGGAGCCGAACGCGUCCGGAGCAGGUUGGGGGGGUCAUGGGUCGCCUGUGUCGCUGCCGGGGUCGCAGCCGGGGUCAUGGUCGGGGUCACGGUCGGGGUCAGAAGCGGCAGCGCCCGAAGUCAUGUGGCUGUAACAGAGAGCCCAACUGCUGCCAAUCGAUGACCUCACCGAUGACGUCACCGAUGACGUCACCGCCGCUCGCCGUGACCACCACCUACGUCAUCUUGCCCCCCCCCUCCAUCACCACCGUGGGGGGGCCCCGAGUGGCCCUUGUGGGGGUCCCCGAGCCCCAAAACUGCUGCUUUUAGCCCCAAAAAUGCUUCUUUUAGCACCCAAAAUGCUUCUUU